rnacentral:rRNA from 1 species
UACGGAGGGGGCUAGCGUUGUUCGGAAUUACUGGGCGUAAAGCGCACGUAGGCGGCUUUGUAAGUUAGAGGUGAAAGCCCGGAGCUCAACUCCGGAAUUGCCUUUAAGACUGCAUCGCUAGAAUUGUGGAGAGGUAAGUGGAAUUCCGAGUGUAGAGGUGAAAUUCGUAGAUAUUCGGAAGAACCCCAGUGGCGAAGGCGCCUUCCUGACACAUAUUGACGCUGAGGUGCGAAAGCGUGGGGAGCAAACAGG